GUUUCCACUGCUGCUCCUAGGACAGAGUUUGGAAUUCCUGGGGAAUUGCCUUUUGAGAAACUGGAAAUAAUUUCUUUAAAUUCGGUCUCCAGUUUUUCAUAGGCACAUCAAGAAACC
rfam:Ictidomys tridecemlineatus contig112935, whole genome shotgun sequence.